GCAAAACAGAUAUUUUUAAUAAUUGAGGUCAUGUCUCCUUUUGUAUUAUUUUCAUCCUACCCACCACUCCAGGCCUAAGUAUGAAAUCCUGCGAGAUUUUGUGAGAUUUGAGUUUUUAAAAUAGGGCGGGGCCUAUUGUUUGGUCUGGGAGAGCAUGUGGUGGACAAGGAAGUGUAAGGCUGGCUGCUCCAGGUGGGCUUUAAAUUGUUGUGAUAGUAAUCACUUGUUUUUAACUUUUUAUUAUGAUGUGCUUAGGGACGUGCUUAGAUGUGUCUCUGUUCCAGAACAACUGAGUUAGAUGAUUGCAUGACAGUCUGGAGCCAUCAAGAAGUGCAGAAGGUUGUUAAUCAUCCACAGAUUCCAUCCAGUCGUUGCUCUGCAGUUUGACCAAAAGCUGACUCUUGAGGAUUGCAGCAAAACUGUCAAGAGGUGGCUUCAUUACACGCCAGAACGAGAGGAAGACAUCACAAGGAAUAAAAGUGACGCCAACCAGAGUCAAACUGGGGUUACCACAACUUGUACUGUUUCCCUAGUUCAUACAGUACAAAGCUUAACCUCAUGGACUCUGUUCUUCUGUGGACAAUAGACUGUUAUUCUGACAGUCAAAAAGGAGUCAAAUAUGUUUAAAGAUUUGUCCCCCUUUUCUUUAAUAAAAUGUUAUAUCAAACCUA